UCCCUGGUGAUUCAGUGGUUAAGACUCUGUGCUUCCAAUGCAGGGAGCCUGGGUUCAAUCCUUGGUCAGGGAA
rnacentral:tRNA from 1 species